rnacentral:rRNA from 1 species
AAUAUUGCACAAUGGGCGAAAGCCUGAUGCAGCAACGCUGCUUGAGUGAUGAAGGCCUUCGGGUCGUAAAGUUCUUUGAUCAGGGAAGAUAAUGACAGUACCUGAAAAACAAGUCACGGCUAACUACGUGCCAGCAGCCGCGGUAAUACGUAGGUGGCGAGCGUUGUCCGGAAUUAGUGGGCGUAAAGGAUGCGUAGGUGGAUACUUAAGUGGGAUGUGAAAUCCCCGGGCUCAACCCGGGAACUGAAUUCCAAACUGGGUAUCUAGAGUGCAGAAGAAGAAAGCGGAAUUCCUAGUGUAGCAGUGAAAUGCGUAGAUAUUAGGAGGAACACCAGUGGCGAAGGCGGCUUUCUGGACUGUAACUGACACUGAGGCAUGAAAGCGUGGGUAGCAAACAGG